GACGAACGCUGGCGGCGUGCUUAACACAUGCAAGUCGAACGGAAAGGCCCUGCUUUUGUGGGGUGCUCGAGUGGCGAACGGGUGAGUAACACGUGAGUAACCUGCCCUUGACUUUGGGAUAACUUCAGGAAACUGGGGCUAAUACCGGAUAGGAGCUCCUGCUGCAUGGUGGGGGUUGGAAAGUUUCGGCGGUUGGGGAUGGACUCGCGGCUUAUCAGCUUGUUGGUGGGGUAGUGGCUUACCAAGGCUUUGACGGGUAGCCGGCCUGAGAGGGUGACCGGCCACAUGGGGACUGAGAUACGGCCCAGACGCCUACGGGAGGCAGCAGUGGGGAAUAUUGCACAAUGGGCGGAAGCCUGAUGCAGCAACGCCGCGUGCGGGAUGACGGCCUUCGGGUUGUAAACCGCUUUCGCCUGUGACGAAGCGUGAGUGACGGUAAUGGGUAAAGAAGCACCGGCUAACUACGUG
rnacentral:rRNA from 1 species